UACGUAGGGUCCGAGCGUUGUCCGGAAUUAUUGGGCGUAAAGAGCUCGUAGGCGGUUUGUUGCGUCGGCUGUGAAAUCCCGAGGCUCAACCUCGGGUCUGCAGUCGAUACGAGCAAACUAGAGUGUUGCAGGGGAGACUGGAAUUCCUGGUGUAGCGGUGAAAUGCGCAGAUAUCAGGAGGAACACCGAUGGCGAAGGCAGGUCUCUGGGCAUUAACUGACGCUGAGGAGCGAAAGUGUGGGGAGCGAACAGG
rnacentral:rRNA from 1 species